UCAAAUACAUCAUUGAAAUUAUCUCCCUUACACUGCUUUUAAAUUAUGUAUAAAGUAAUGGUUAAUGAACAAUUAAGAUAUUUUAAAACAGUGUAAGGGAGGUAAUCCAAAUACAACGUUUUGGUUACUUCCCUUACACUGCUUUUAAAUUAUGUUUAAAGAAAUGCAUAUUUAUAAAGGAAGACCAGUAAAAAUAUCUGCAAAUGUUGCAUCUUUUUUUUUUACAAAAAAAUCCAUAUGAAAGAUUUGACACUAUAUUUUAAAUUCUAUUAUAAAAUAGAUUAAGUUAGCACUAUGGUAAAUUUAAAUGGGUAAUUAUGGUUGCAAACUCCAUUGGAAAUUUGAAUUGAGAUUAUGACCAUAUCUUGAGGGAAAAAAUUUUUUGGGGGGAAAAAAGGGGGGGGGUAAAAAGAAAUUGUGGGGGGUCAAUUUUUCUCAUUUCAGAUUUCAGAAAUUAAAAAGAAUUAUUCUUCAAAUAUUUUUUUUUUUCUUCAAAUUUCAAAUAUUGAAAAAUUUCAAGAAGUAAUCUUUAAUUGCACAGUAUGGCGCUUUAGAUUUGUAAAAUCUGUGACCACAUUUAUUUAUUUGUUAUGCCGAAUCUAACCGUGUUUUUAGAUUUUUAAUUUUGGGUCCAGUUUUCAAAUUGGUCUACAUUAAGGUCCAAAGGGUCCAAAAUUAAACUUUGUUUGAUUUCAACAAAAAUUGAAUAUAUGGGGUUCUUUGAUAUGCUGAAUCUAACCAUGUAUUUAGAUUUUUUAUUUGUGGACCCCGCUAUCAAAUUGGUUCAUAUUGAGGUCAAAAGGGUCCAAAAUAAAACUUCGUUUGAUUUCAUCAAAAACUGAAUUAUUGGGGUUCUUUGAUAUGCCAAAUAUAACCAUGUAUUUAGAUUUUUAAUUUUGGGUCCUGUUUUUUAAAUUGGUCUACAUUAAGGUCCAAAGGGUCCAAAAUUAAACUUAGUUUGAUUUUAACAAAAAUUGAAUUCUGGGGGUUCUUUGAUAUGCUGAUUCUAAACAUGUGUUUAGAUUUUUGAUUAUGGGCCCAGUUUUCAAGUUGGGCCAAGUUGGGGUUCAAAAUUAAACUUUUUUUGAUUUCAACAAAAAUUGAAUAUAUGGGGUUCUUUGAUAUGCUGAAUCUAACCAUGUAUUUAGAUUUUUUAUUUGUGGGCCCCACUUAUCAAAUUGGUUCAUAUUGAGGUCAAAAGGGUCCAAAAUUAAACUUUGUUUGAUUUCAUCAAAAAUUGAAUUAUUGGGGUUCUUUGAUAUUCCAAAUCUAACCGUGUAUUAAGAUUUUUAAUUUUGGGUCCUGUUUUUUAAAUUGGUCUACAUUAAGGUCCAAAGGGUCCAAAAUUAAACUUUGUUUGAUUUCAACAAAAAUUGAAUAUAUGUGGUUCUUUGAUAUGCUGAAUCUAACCAUGUAUUUAGAUUUUUUAUUUGUGGACCCCGCUAUCAAAUUGGUUCAUAUUGAGGUCAAAAGGGUCCAAAAUAAAACUUCGUUUGAUUUCAUCAAAAACUGAAUUAUUGGGGUUCUUUGAUAUGCCAAAUAUAACCAUGUAUUUAGAUUUUUAAUUUUGGGUCCUGUUUUUUAAAUUGGUCUACAUUAAGGUCCAAAGGGUCCAAAAUUAAACUUAGUUUGAUUUUAACAAAAAUUGAAUUCUGGGGGUUCUUUGAUAUGCUGAUUCUAAACAUGUGUUUAGAUUUUUGAUUAUGGGCCCGGUUUUCAAGUUGGGCCAAGUUGGGGUUCAAAAUUAAACUUUUUUUGAUUUCAACAAAAAUUGAAUAUAUGGGGUUCUUUGAUAUGCUGAAUCUAACCAUGUAUUUAGAUUUUUUAUUUGUGGGCCCCACUUAUCAAAUUGGUUCAUAUUGAGGUCAAAAGGGUUCAAAAUUAAACUUUGUUUGAUUUCAUCAAAAAUUGAAUUAUUGGGGUUCUUUGAUAUUCCAAAUCUAACCGUGUAUUAAGAUUUUUAAUUUUGGGUCCUGUUUUUUAAAUUGGUCUACAUUAAGGUCCAAAGGGUCCAAAAUUUAACUUAGUUUGAUUUUAACAAAAAUUGAAUUCUUUGGGUUCUUUAAUAUGCUGAAUCUAAACAUGUGUUUAGAUUUUUGAUUAUGGGCCCAGUUUUCAAGUUUGUCCAAGUUGGGGUCCAAAAUUAAACUUUGUUUGAUUUCAACAAAAAUUGAAUAUAUGGGGUUCUUUGAUAUGCUGAAUCUAACCAUGUAUUUUGAUUUUGGACAUUGGACCAUAGUAGGUAAAUUAAAAAAAUUCAAGUUCUUAGACCACAUUCUUUCUGUGUCAGAAACCUAUGCUGUGUCAAAUAUUUAAUCACAAUCCAAAUUCAGAGCUGUAUCAAGCUUGAAUGUUGUGUCCAUACUUGCCCCAACUGUUCAGGGUUCGACCUCUGCGGUCGUAUCAAGCUGCGCCCAGCGAAGCAUUUUAUUCAAAAAU